AGCGGCGGACGGGUGAGUAACGCGUGGGUAACCUGCCUCAUACACAUGGAUAACAUACCGAAAGGUAUGCUAAUACAAGAUGAUAUAAGAGAUUCGCAUGGAUCUCUUAUCAAAGCUCCGGCGGUAUGAGAUGGACCCGCGUCUGAUUAGCUAGUUGGUAAGGUGACGGCUUACCAAGGCGACGAUCAGUAGCCGACCUGAGAGGGUGAUCGGCCACAUUGGAACUGAGACACGGUCCAAACUCCUACGGGAGGCAGCAGUGGGGAAUAUUGCACAAUGGGCGAAAGCCUGAUGCAGCAACGCCGCGUGAGCGAUGAAGGCCUUCGGGUCGUAAAGCUCUGUCCUCAAGGAAGAUAAUGACGGUACUUGAGGAGGAGGCCCCGGCUAACUACGUGCCAGCAGCCGCGGUAAUACGUAGGGGGCUAGCGUUAUCCGGAUCUACUGGGCGUAAAGGGUGCGUAGGUGGUUUCUUAAGUCAGGAGUGAAAGGCUACGGCUUAACCGUAGUAAGCUCUUGAAACUGGGAAACUUGAGUGCAGGAGAGGAAAGUGGAAUUCCUAGUGUAGCGGUGAAAUGCGUAGAUAUUAGGAGGAACACCAGUAGCGAAGGCGGCUUUCUGGACUGUAACUGACACUGAGGCACGAAAGCGUGGGGAGCAAACAGGAUUAGAUACCCUGGUAGUCCACGCCGUAAACGAUGAGUACUAGGUGU
rnacentral:rRNA from 1 species